rnacentral:rRNA from 1 species
GACGAACGCUGGCGGCGUGCCUAAUACAUGCAAGUUGAGCGCUGAAGGUUGGUACUUGUACCCACUGGAUGAGCAGCGAACGGGUGAGUAACGCGUGGGGAAUCUGCCUUUGAGCGGGGGACAACAUUUGGAAACGAAUGCUAAUACCGCAUAAAAACUUUAAACACAAGUUUUAAGUUUGAAAGAUGCAAUUGCAUCACACAAAGAUGAUCCCGCGUUGUAUUAGCUAGUUGGUGAGGUAAAGGCUCACCAAGGCGAUGAUACAUAGCCGACCUGAGAGGGUGAUCGGCCACAUUGGGACUGAGACACGGCCCAAACUCCUACGGGAGGCAGCAGUAGGGAAUCUUCGGCAAUGGACGAAAGUCUGACCGAGCAACGCCGCGUGAGUGAAGAAGGGUUUCGGAUCGUAAAACUCUGUUGGUAGAGAAGAACGUUGGUGAGAGUGGAAAGCGCAUCAAGUGACGGUAACUACACAGAAAGGGACGGCUAACUACGUG